GAUGAACGCUGGCGGCGUGCCUAAUACAUGCAAGUCGAGCGAACGGACGAGAAGCUUGCUUCUCUGAUGUUAGCGGCGGACGGGUGAGUAACACGUGGAUAACCUACCUAUAAGACUGGGAUAACUUCGGGAAACCGGAGCUAAUACCGGAUGAUAUUUUGAACCGCAUGGUACAAAAGUGAAAGACGGUCUUGCUGUCACUUAUAGAUGGAUCCGCGCUGCAUUAGCUAGUUGGUAAGGUAACGGCUUACCAAGGCAACGAUGCAUAGCCGACCUGAGAGGGUGAUCGGCCACACUGGAACUGAGACACGGUCCAGACUCCUACGGGAGGCAGCAGUAGGGAAUCUUCCGCAAUGGGCGAAAGCCUGACGGAGCAACGCCGCGUGAGUGAUGAAGGUCUUCGGAUCGUAAAACUCUGUUAUUAGGGAAGAACAUAUGUGUAAGUAACUGUGCACAUCUUGACGGUACCUAAUCAGAAGGCCACGGCUAACUACGUG
rnacentral:rRNA from 1 species